rnacentral:lncRNA from 1 species
GUGAGCUUUCUAUUUCUGCAUCCUAAUUUCUAUUUAUCUUUUCAUAUUUUAGGAAAGUAACCAAGUUAUGCUCCACAGCACAGAUUUUCUAUUGGGGGAGAUAGACAAUGAAGAUCUAACAAAAGAUCAGAAAGAUAAAGAGAAGCUUCUGGUUCCUCGUUCAUACCCAGUGGUGGUAGUUGUGUUGCUGAAGAACAGGUAAGUCUGGACUCUACAGUCCAGAUGCAGCAGAACUCUUCUAUGCAGAAUGAUCCUUAGUGUUCCAGAAUCAGCAAAUGGUGAAACAUCGGAUGAAGCAUCAGGUGUGUUCUCCAAGUCAGGAAUCCGAGCAGUUUCGAAGCUCUCAU